rnacentral:rRNA from 1 species
UACGGGGGGAGCAAGCGUUGUUCGGAUUUACUGGGCGUAAAGGGCGCGUAGGCGGUGCGGUAAGUCACCUGUGAAAUCUCCUGGCUCAACUGGGAGCUUGCAGGCGAAACUGCCGUGCUGGAGUGUGGGAGAGGUGCGUGGAAUUCCUGGUGUAGCGGUGAAAUGCGUAGAUAUCAGGAGGAACACCUGUGGCGAAAGCGGCGCACUGGACCACAACUGACGCUGAGGCGCGAAAGCUAGGGGAGCAAACAGG